AUUUUAAUAGCUUAUAUAGAGCAUAAUAUUGAAGAUAUUAAGGAGAUUUUAUAUCUUAAAAUA
rnacentral:tRNA from 1 species